UACGGAGGGGGCUAGCGUUGUUCGGAAUUACUGGGCGUAAAGCGCGCGUAGGCGGACCUGCAAGUCGGGGGGUGAAAGCCCGAGGCUCAACCUCGGAACUGCCUUCGAUACUGCGGGUCUCGAGUCCGGGAGAGGUGAGUGGAAUUCCUAGUGUAGAGGUGAAAAUUGUAGAUAUUAGGAAGAACACCAGUGGCGAAGGCGGCUCACUGGCCCGGUACUGGACGCUGAGGCGACGGAAAGCGG
rnacentral:rRNA from 1 species